GGGACCAUCCUCCAAGGCUAAAUACUCCUGACUGACCGAUAGUGAACCAGUACCGUGAGGGAAAGGCGAAAAGAACCCCUGUGAGGGGAGUGAAAUAGAACCUGAAACCGUGUACGUACAAGCAGUGGGAGCCCUUCGGGGUGACUGCGUACCUUUUGUAUAAUGGGUCAGCGACUUACAUUUUGUAGCGAGGUUAACCGUAUAGGGGAGCCGUAGGGAAACCGAGUCUUAACUGGGCGUCUAGUUGCAAGGUGUAGACCCGAAACCGGGUGAUCUAGCCAUGGGCAGGUUGAAGGUUGAGUAACAUCAACUGGAGGACCGAACCCACUAACGUUGCAAAGUUAGGGGAUGACCUGUGGCUGGGGGUGAAAGGCCAAUCAAACUCGGAGAUAGCUGGUUCUCCCCGAAAGCUAUUUAGGUAGCGCCUCGGACGAAUACUACUGGGGGUAGAGCACUGUUUGGGCUAGGGGGUCAUCCCGACUUACCAACCCCAUGCAAACUCCGAAUACCAGUAAGUAAUAUCCGGGAGACACACGGCGGGUGCUAACGUCCGUCGUGAAGAGGGAAACAACCCAGACCGCCGGCUAAGGUCCCAAAGUUCUGGUUAAGUGGGAAACGAUGUGGGAAGGCUCAGACAGCUAGGAUGUUGGCUUAGAAGCAGCCAUCAUUUAAAGAAAGCGUAAUAGCUCACUAGUCGAGUCGGCCUGCGCGGAAGAUGUAACGGGGCUCAAACCAGGCACCGAAGCCGCGGAUUCACGCUAAGCGUGAGUGGUAGGGGAGCGUUCUGUAAGUCUGCGAAGGUGUAUCGAGAGGUAUGCUGGAGAUAUCAGAAGUGCGAAUGCUGACGUAAGUAACGAUAAAGGGGGUGAAAAGCCUCCUCGCCGGAAGACCAAGGGUUCCUGUCCAACGUUAAUCGGGGCAGGGUGAGUCGACCCCUAAGGCGAGGCCGAAAGGCGUAGUCGAUGGGAAGCAGGUUAAUAUUCCUGCACGACUUGUAAUUGCGAUGGGGGGACGGAGAAGGCUAGGUGGGCCAGGCGACGGUUGUCCUGGUGAAAGUGCGUAGGUGGUGUUUCUAGGCAAAUCCGGAGACACAACACUGAGACACGAGACGAACGCACCACGGUGCGGAAGCCAUUGAUGCCCUGCUUCCAGGAAAAGCCUCUAAGCUUCAGAUUACAAGUCAUCGUACCCCAAACCGACACAGGUGGUCGGGUAGAGAAUACCAAGGCGCUUGAGAGAACUCGGGUGAAGGAACUAGGCAAAAUAGAACCGUAACUUCGGGAGAAGGUUCGCUCUUGAUGGUGAAGUCCCUUGCGGAUGGAGCUGUCGGGAGUCGCAGUGACCAGAUGGCUGGGACUGUUUAUCAAAAACACAGCACUCUGCAAACACGAAAGUGGACGUAUAGGGUGUGACACCUGCCCGGUGCCGGAAGGUUAAUUGAUGGGGUUAGCGCAAGCGAAGCUCUUGAUCGAAGCCCCGGUAAACGGCGGCCGUAACUAUAACGGUCCUAAGGUAGCGAAAUUCCUUGUCGGGUAAGUUCCGACCUGCACGAAU
rnacentral:rRNA from 1 species